UGGCCAGCCAAUCAUGCUCGUCGAGCGAACGGACGAGAAGCUUGCUUCUCUGAUGUUAGCGGCGGACGGGUGAGUAACACGUGGAUAACCUACCUAUAAGACUGGGAUAACUUCGGGAAACCGGAGCUAAUACCGGAUAAUAUUUUGAACCGCAUGGUUCAAAAGUGAAAGACGGUCUUGCUGUCACUUAUAGAUGGAUCCGCGCUGCAUUAGCUAGUUGGUAAGGUAACGGCUUACCAAGGCAACGAUGCAUAGCCGACCUGAGAGGAKUGAUUCGGUCCACACYKGAACUGAGACACGGUCCAGACUYCUACGGGAGGCAGCAGUASGKAAUCUUCCGCAAUGGGCGAAAGSCUGACGGAGCAACGYCGCGUGAGUGAUGAAGGUCUUCGGAUCGUAAAACUCUGUUAUUAGGGAAGAACAUAUGUGUAAGUAACUGUGCACAUCUUGACGGUACCUAAUCAGAAAGCCACGGCUAACUACGUGCCAGCAGCCGCGGUAAUACGUAGGUGGCAAGCGUUAUCCGGAAUUAUUGGGCGUAAAGCGCGCGUAGGCGGUUUUUUAAGUCUGAUGUGAAAGCCCACGGCUCAACCGUGGAGGGUCAUUGGAAACUGGAAAACUUGAGUGCAGAAGAGGAAAGUGGAAUUCCAUGUGUAGCGGUGAAAUGCGCAGAGAUAUGGAGGAACACCAGUGGCGAAGGCGACUUUCUGGUCUGUAACUGACGCUGAUGUGCGAAAGCGUGGGGAUCAAACAGGAUUAGAUACCCUGGUAGUCCACGCCGUAAACGAUGAGUGCUAAGUGUUAGGGGGUUUCCGCCCCUUAGUGCUGCAGCUAACGCAUUAAGCACUCCGCCUGGGGAGUACGACCGCAAGGUUGAAACUCAAAGGAAUUGACGGGGACCCGCACAAGCGGUGGAGCAUGUGGUUUAAUUCGAAGCAACGCGAAGAACCUUACCAAAUCUUGACAUCCUUUGACAACUCUAGAGAUAGAGCCUUCCCCUUCGGGGGACAAAGUGACAGGUGGUGCAUGGUUGUCGUCAGCUCGUGUCGUGAGAUGUUGGGUUAAGUCCCGCAACGAGCGCAACCCUUWAGCUUAGUUGCCAUCAUUAAGUUGGGCACUCUAAGUUGACUGCCGGUGACAAACCGGAGGAAGGUGGGRAUGACGUCAAAUCAUCAUGCUCCCUUAUGAUUUGGGCUACACACGUGCUACAAUGGACAAUACAAAGGGCAGCGAAACCGCGAGGUCAAGCAAAUCCCAUAAAGUUGUUCUCAGUUCGGAUUGUAGUCUGCAACUCGACUACAUGAAGCUGGAAUCGCUAGUAAUCGUAGAUCAGCAUGCUACGGUGAAUACGUUCCCGGGUCUUGUACACACCGCCCGUCACACCACGAGAGUUUGUAACACCCGAAGCCGGUGGAGUAACCUUUUAGGAGCUAGCCGUCGAAAUG
rnacentral:rRNA from 1 species